rnacentral:misc_RNA from 1 species
AAGUUAUUCAUGUAAAUAUAUCGAACAAUUCCUCGAGUAGCAUACAUUUAACUACACAUUUACACAGAGGGAUAUUACACACAAUAACUUUAUAUCUCAACCGAUAAAAAUCAAGCUUAUUGACAUACAUUAUACUGCAAAAAAUUGCCCAAGCACAGAAUUAUCACUUAACACAAGUUUUGUUGCAAUGCCCCUCCACCAAAUGAAAUAAUCACAACAAAGCAAGACAGUUCCAGAACUGCAAAACAAGUCUUUUUGGAGAAAAUAAAAUAAUAGUACACAAGCAAAGCGAUGGAUGAUGAUUUUGAAUUCAGUCAUUCGCCGAUUCAGAAUCCACACAGCGAUGAACCAAGAGGGAUAAAUAGAGGAAAAGGUUCCAACUGCUCAAGCAGCAACCUGACCGAAUAGGCACUUGCGGAUCUCUGGUAGUUUCUUACGGAACACAACUUCCAAUCUGGCAUCAAGAGUGUUUUCACACACAAUUUUCCCAUCUCGA